AAUUAUAUAUUGAAUUUUAAUAAUUUUAUUUAAUAUUUAAUUAAAUCGGUUGAACCCCGGUUGAACCACUGAACCAGUGAACCAGUUGCCUCACCGGUUCAUUGAUCGGUUCGAUUUUUGCAACCUUGUCUCGCUAGAGAAGAGAAAAA